AAGUCGUAACAAGGUCUCCGUAGGUGAACCUGCGGAGGGAUCAUUAACACGUAAUCUCACGAUUACAAACCAAAAAACAAAACGUGCUCUUAUAACAAACUAUUGUAGCUUGUUGUUGUUCAGGGGAUGGAGGUAUGUUACUGAGAUGAUUGGGUCAAAGAGCAUCUCACAAACGCAUACUAUACCAAAUCUGUUCCCACUCAAUGAAUGACAACACCCAAAGCUAUAUCACUCUUCCUCUUUCACCCAAUAUUCACCCCAAUAACCCCUUUAAAAUUUAAUUUUUACUGAUUACAAUCAUUUGCGGCCGAAAGGCGGAAUGAGGUUUCUACGAAACCAUUAGCACAACUCUUAGCAGUGGAUAUCUUGGCUCCCGU
rnacentral:misc_RNA from 1 species